CACAAAAACUUUUGGGUUUAUCAAAUCAAACAUCUUGUUGAGAACAUCACAGCCAUUUCUAUAAAAUCCUUUAACAUUACUGUCUGUUCCUCCUUUCAUAUCAUUUCUGUCUGGGACGAGCUUUUUUGCAUGAUGCCUGAGCCUGACACACCUGAUCAUGGAGUAGAGCCACUGCACUCAGUGGAGUUUAGUGUGCAACUCAUCCCAUCCAAAAGGGGCCACCCUUUCACUUAUGCCAAGAAACCACAAAUCCCGCUGCAAAUAGAUCAGCCUGAAAAACAAACCGCUCCAGUUCCAGCCCGGGACAAAGACCACAGUGGGACAUCUCUGAAGGAGGGAAAUGGGCAGCCCCAGCCCUGCUGUCUCCAGAAUGAGCCCUAUCCCUGCUCCCAUGGAAAGGGGCUUGCAGCUGGGUGCUGCUGGGGAAUUUAUCCCCAAGCUCAGUCCUCAGCAGUUGUUAUAAAUAAGAUGCUGUUUGCAUUUUCCUUGCUGGAAACCCAUCAUGCAAAUCCCAAAUUUGAGUGCACACAGAGCUUGGGCUGCUGCUCUGUCAGAAAGGAGGAGGGCAGGGAUGAGGUCUGAAGUAACCACCGGCUUUUCCCAUGUCCUCUGUGCAGCCAGUCUCCGACUUUCAUUUCUCCCCUGGGAUAUCCUUCCGAAGUAUUACAACUGGAGAUGUUAGAGCAAUGUUUGGGGAAAUAUUUGGAAAAAGGCCAUAAGAGUUCUGCAUUGAAAGAAAGGCAAAUCUUCAGAAAUUGCCACUGAUGAAGAUGCUAAGGUACAUUUUGAUUAGCUCAGUGAGAAAGAGCUUUGCCAUUGGGUAAUUCUAAUGGAAAUAUCACUCACAUGGUGAUCCUGUUAAAAAGAAAGGUGGCAAUUAAUUUUCAAACAGAAAAAUUCAAAUUAGGGGGGAAAAAAAUCCUUUCCAAAAAGUAGCAGCACUCAUGGAAAAUUUUCCAUUUUCUCUGACUUUUUGUGUCAGAUAACUGACCAAAGUGAAUCCACUGCUACAAAUGGGCUGGUUGAUUCAGAUGCAUCAGCAUGUUUUGAGCAAACAAAUAGGCCAUCAUCUGGACAGAUGAUCCUCCUCCUCCUCCAGAUGGAGAAAUUUUGUCCCAGGGGAGGAGCUUGCUUUGCUCACAGUGUCACAGAAAGUGUGUAAAAUGCAUCUCCUGAGGGUUUUUUAGCAGCAAGUGGCAUUAUUACAAUCAGUUGUGCUGAUCAGGCAUAUAUUGCUACGGCUGCUUGGGUGUUACAGGAUCCAGACUGGUUCUCCAGCUGCCCUAAGGAGCCUUCUCUUCUCCAGGCUGCCCCAGCCCAGCUCUCUCAGCCUGGCUCCAGAGCAGAGCUGCUCCAGCCCUUGCAGCAUCUCCAUGGCCUCCUCUGGCCUUGCUCCAACA